rnacentral:lncRNA from 1 species
CUAGGGGAACCGAACACAGUUCGAGACUGACCUGGGGUUUUAUAGCACUUUUGGCAGUCAACUUCAGCUUGUGUCAGACAUUACAGAGCUGACCAACGGGGAUCGGGGAGACGCCACCUACUUGGAAUCACUGCCUCCCCCCUUUUAAUAAAAUAUCUAUCUAUCUAUCUACCUCAGGCCUUGGGGAGAGACUAGGGGGUAGAGCUGGAGAUG